rnacentral:rRNA from 1 species
GGGGCCGGAUGCCUUACACAUGCAAGUCGAACGGCAGCAUACAAGAGCUUGCUCUCUGAUGGCAAGUGUGCGAACGGGUGAGUAAUAUGUCGGAACGUGCCUAGUAAUGGGGAAUAACUAUCUGAAAGGUUAGCUAAUGCCGCAUACAACCUACGGGUGAAAGCAAGGGAUCUUCUGACCUUGCGUUAUUACAGCGGCCGAUAUCUGAUUAUCUUGUUGGUGGGGUAAUGGCCUACCAAGGCGACAAUAACUAUCUGGUCUGAGAGGACAAUCACCCACACUGGAACUGAGACACGGUCCACACUCCUACGGGAGGCAGCAGUGGGGAAUUUUGGACAAUGGGGGCAACCCUGAUCCAGCCAUUCCGCGUGAGUGAAGAAGGCCUUCGGGUUGUAAAGCUCUUUCGCAAGAGAAGAAAACUUGCUAUCUAAUAAAUAUUAGGUAUGACGGUAUCUUGACAAAAAACACCGGCUAACUACGUGCCACCAGCCGCGGUAAUACAUAGGGUGCAAGCGUUAAUCCGAAUUACUGGGCGUAAAGCGUGCGCAGGCAGUUUUAUAAGUCAGAUGUGAAAUCCCCGAGCUCAACUUGGGAACUGCGUUUGAAACUAUAAGACUAGAGUGUGUCAGAGGGGGGUAGAAUUCCAAGUGUAGCAGUGAAAUGCGUAUAGAUUUGGAGGAAUACCAAUGGCGAAGGCAGCCCCCUGGGAUAACACUGACGCUCAUGCGCGAAAGCGUGGGAGCAAACAGGAUUAGAUACCCCGGUAGUCCACGCCCUAAACGAUGUCUACUAGUUGUGGGUGGAGUAAAAUCCAUGAGUAACGCAGCUAACGCGUGAAGUAGACCGCCUGGGGAGUACGGUCGCAAGAUUAAAACUCAAAUGAAUUGACGGGGGCCCGCACAAGCGGUGGAUUAUGUGGAUUAAUUCGAUGCAACGCGAAAAACCUUACCUGGCCUUGACAUGUCCCGAAUUUAGCAGAGAUGCUUUAGUGCUCGAAAGAGAACGGUAACCCAGGUGCUGCAUGGCGGUCGUCAGCUCGUGUCGUGAGAUGUUGGGUUAAGUCCCGCAACGAGCGCAACCCUUGCCAUUAAUUCCCAUCAUCUAGCUGGGCACUCUAAUGGGACUGCCGGUGACAAACCGGAGGAAGGUGGGGAUGACGUCAAGUCCUCAUGGCCCUUAUGGCCAGGGCUUCACACGUAAUACAAUGGUCCGUACAGAGGGAAGCCACCCCGCGAGGGCGAGCCAAUCUCAGAAAGCCGGUCGUAGUCCGGAUUGUUGUCUGCAACUCGACAGCAUGAAGUCGGAAUCGCUAGUAAUCGCGGAUCAGCAUGUCGCGGUGAAUACGUUCCCGGGCCUUGUACACACCGCCCGUCACACCAUGGGAGUGGGUUUUACCAGGAAGUAGUUAGUCUAUCCGCUAAGGGCGAGCGACUACGCAACGGUACGAUUC